rnacentral:rRNA from 1 species
GGGGAAUAUUGGGCAAUGGGCGCAAGCCUGACCCAGCCACGCCGCGUGAGUGAUGAAGGCCUUCGGGUUGUAAAGCUCUGUGGGAAGAGAAGAAAAACUGAAACCUAAUACGUUUCAGGUUGACGGUAUCAUCUUAGCAAGCACCGGCUAACUCUGUGCCAGCAGCCGCGGUAAGACAGAGGGUGCAAACGUUGCUCGGAUUUACUGGGCGUAAAGCGCAUGUAGGCGGGCGAUUAAGUCGGGUGUGAAAUCCCUGGGCUCAACCUAGGAACUGCAUCCGAAACUGAUCACCUUGAGUAGUGGAGAGGAAAGCGGAAUUCCGGGUGUAGAGGUGAAAUUCGUAGAUAUCCGGAGGAACACCAGUGGCGAAGGCGGCUUUCUGGACACUAACUGACGCUGAGAUGCGAAAGCGUGGGGAGCAAAC